rnacentral:RNase_P_RNA from 1 species
GCGAGCGGCUGGGCGGGCCACGGGGAGCUCCCGAGGAAGUUCCUCCCCCCAACCGGUGCAGUCGGCCACCGCGAGGUGGGCGGGGAGACCUGCGGCAACGCCACAGAAACGAGACCCCUCCACCACAGAUGAGGCUGAUCCGCCAAACGGAGACGGUGACGAGUGGUGGAGAAUGGAUGAAACGGGCGACCCCGACGGGGAAAGGCGCCAGGGCCUAUGAGGCGCGCCGGCGAGGCCCGCGAAAAACCGAGAAGACCAAUCCCGCCUAAAACAGAAGGAGGACUAUGGGCCGCACGC